UGCAUGCUACUACAGUGAAAAGCUGGC
rnacentral:piRNA from 1 species